CGCGAGUGCUUCGUGCCCCACCCGGGACACGAGUUCGUCCGGGGACGCGUGCUGGACAGACAGGGCGGCAGCAUCACCGUGGAGACCGAGCUGGGAGAGACGGUGACGGUCAAGGAGGGCGACGUGCACCAGCAGAACCCGCCCAAGUUCGACAAGAUCGAGGACAUGGCCAUGCUGACGUUCCUGCACGAGCCCGCCGUGCUCUUCAACCUCAAGGAGCGCUACGCGGCCUGGAUGAUCUACACCUACUCGGGGCUGUUCUGUGUCACCGUGAACCCCUACAAGUGGCUCCCGGUCUAUGACCCACAAGUGGUGGCCGCCUACCGGGGCAAGAAGCGCAACGAGGUCCCCCCGCACAUCUUCUCCAUCUCCGACAAUGCCUACCAGUACAUGCUGACAGACCGCGAGAACCAAUCCAUCCUCAUCACCGGCGAAUCGGGGGCGGGCAAAACAGUGAACACCAAACGCGUCAUCCAGUACUUCGCCAGCAUCGCCGCCAUCGGCGACCGCAAGAAGGAGGCGGCCAAUAGCAACAAGGGCACCCUGGAGGAUCAAAUCAUCCAGGCCAACCCCGCGCUCGAGGCCUUCGGCAACGCCAAGACCGUGCGCAAUGACAACUCCUCGCGAUUCGGGAAAUUCAUCCGGAUCCACUUCGGGGCCACCGGGAAGUUGGCGUCGGCCGACAUCGAGACGUACCUCCUGGAGAAGUCCCGUGUCAUCUUCCAGCUAAAGGCGGAACGGAACUACCACAUUUUCUACCAGAUCCUCUCCAACAAGAAGCCGGAGCUUCUGGAGAUGCUGCUGGUCACCUCCAACCCCUACGACUACGGGUAUGUGUCCCAGGGCGAGGUGACCGUGGCCUCCAUCGAUGACGCCGAGGAGCUGUUGGCAACUGACAGCGCCUUUGACGUCCUGGGCUUCACGGCCGAGGAGAAGGCCGGUGUCUACAAGCUGACGGGGGCCAUCAUGCACUUCGGCAACAUGAAGUUCAAGCAGAAGCAGCGGGAGGAGCAGGCGGAGCCGGACGGCACCGAUGCCGACAAGUCCGCCUACCUGAUGGGGCUGAACUCGGCUGACUUGCUCAAGGGCUUGUGUCACCCGCGCGUCAAGGUGGGCAACGAGUAUGUCACCAAGGGGCAGAGCGUCCAGCAGGUCUACUACUCCAUCGGGGCCUUGGCCAAGGCCGUCUAUGAGAAGAUGUUCAACUGGAUGGUGGUGAGGAUCAACAACUCGCUGGACACCAAGCAGCCACGGCAGUACUUCAUCGGCGUCUUGGACAUCGCUGGCUUCGAGAUCUUUGAUUUCAACAGCUUCGAGCAGCUGUGCAUCAACUUCACCAACGAGAAGCUGCAGCAGUUCUUCAACCACCACAUGUUCGUGCUGGAGCAGGAGGAGUACAAGAAGGAGGGCAUUGAGUGGGAGUUCAUUGACUUCGGCAUGGACCUGCAGGCCUGCAUCGACCUCAUCGAGAAGCCCAUGGGGAUCAUGUCCAUCCUGGAGGAGGAGUGCAUGUUCCCCAAGGCCUCGGACAUGACCUUCAAGUCCAAACUCUACGACAACCACCUGGGCAAGUCGGCCAACUUCGGGAAGCCACGGAACGUCAAGGGCAAGUCCGAAGCCCACUUCUCGCUCACCCACUACGCCGGCACCGUGGACUACAACAUCCUGGGCUGGCUGGAGAAGAACAAGGACCCCCUCAACGAGACGGUGGUGGGGCUCUACCAGAAAUCCGCCCUCAAGCUCUUGGCCCACCUCUUCUCCAACUACGCCGGGGCAGACUCUGGCGCUGACAGCGGGAAGGGGAAGGGAGCCAAGAAGAAAGGUUCCUCCUUCCAGACGGUCUCAGCCCUGCACCGGGAGAACCUCAACAAGCUGAUGGCCAACCUCAAGACCACCCACCCCCACUUCGUCCGCUGCCUCGUCCCGAAUGAGCGGAAGGAGCCGGGUGUGAUGGACAACGCCCUGGUCAUGCACCAGCUCCGCUGCAACGGGGUCCUGGAGGGAAUCCGCAUCUGCCGCAAGGGCUUUCCCAACCGCAUCCUCUACGGGGACUUCCGACAGCGGUACCGCAUCCUGAACCCCGCGGCCAUCCCCGAGGGGCAGUUCAUCGACAGCCGCAAGGGCGCCGAGAAGCUCCUGGGCUCCAUCGACAUCGACCACAACCAGUACAAGUUUGGGCACACCAAGGUCUUCUUCAAGGCAGGGCUCCUGGGCCAGCUGGAGGAGAUGCGGGACGACCGCCUGUCCCGCAUCAUCACCCGCAUCCAGGCGCGGGCGCGGGGGCAGCUCAUGCGCAUCGAGUUCAAGAAGAUCGUGGAGCGCCGGGACGCGCUGCUGGUGAUCCAGUGGAACCUCCGGGCCUUCAUGGGGGUGAAGAACUGGCCGUGGAUGAAGCUCUACUUCAAGAUCAAGCCCUUGCUGAAGAGCGCGGAGACGGAGAAGGAGAUGCAGAACAUGAAGGAGGAGUACGGGCGGCUGAAGGAUGCCCUGGAGAAGUCGGAGUCCGCGGCGGAAGGAGCUGGAGGAGAAGAUGGUCUCCAUGCUGCAGGAGAAGAACGACCUCCAGCUCCAAGUGCAGGCUGAGCAGGACAACCUGAAUGAUGCCGAGGAACGCUGUGACCAGCUGAUCAAGAACAAGAUCCAGCUGGAGGCCAAGGUGAAAGAGCUGACAGAACGGCUGGAGGAUGAGGAGGAGAUGAAUGCCGAGCUGACAGCCAAGAAGAGGAAGCUGGAGGACGAAUGCUCGGAGCUGAAGAAGGACAUUGAUGACCUGGAGCUGACCCUGGCCAAGGUGGAGAAGGAGAAACACGCGACUGAGAACAAGGUCAAGAACCUGACGGAGGAGAUGGCGGGGCUGGACGAGACCAUCGCCAAGCUGGCCAAGGAGAAGAAGGCUCUGCAGGAGUCCCACCAGCAGACGCUGGACGACCUGCAGGCUGAGGAAGACAAGGUCAACACCUUGACUAAGGGCAAAGUCAAGCUGGAACAGCAAGUGGAUGAUCUCGAAGGGUCCCUGGAACAGGAGAAGAAGAUCCGGAUGGACCUGGAACGGGCCAAGAGGAAACUGGAAGGUGACCUGAAGCUGACCCAGGAGAACAUCAUGGAUCUGGAGAAUGACAAGCAGCAGCUGGAGGAGAAGCUCAAGAAGAAGGAGUUUGAGAUCCACCAGCAGAACAGCAGGAUCGAGGACGAGCAGGCGCUGGCUCUGCAGCUCCAGAAGAAGCUGAAGGAGCUACAGGCACGGAUUGAGGAGCUGGAGGAGGAGCUGGAGGCGGAGCGGACGGGCCGGGCCAAGGUGGAGAAGCAGCGCUCAGAGCUGUCGCGGGAGCUGGAGGAGCUCAGCGAGCGGCUGGAGGAGGCCGGCGGUGCCACCUCGGCGCAGCUGGAGCUCAACAAGAAGCGAGAGGCCGAGUUCCAGAAGCUGCGGCGGGACCUGGAGGAGGCCACGCUGCAGCACGAGGCCACGGCGGCCGCGCUGAGGAAGAAACACGCCGACAGUGUGGCCGAGCUGGGAGAGCAGCUGGACAACCUCCAGCGUGUCAAGCAGAAGCUGGAGAAGGAGAAGAGCGAGCUCAAGCUGGAGCUGGAUGACCUCAGCGCCAACGUGGAGCAGCUGAUCAAGUCUAAGGUGGCCAUGGAGAAGAUGUCGCGCUCCAUGGAGGACCAGGCUGCCGAGCACUUGGCAAAGCUGGAGGAGACCCAACGCGUCCUCAACGACGCCAACACCCAACGGGCCAAGCUGCAGACGGAGAACGGUGAGCUGUCGCGGCAGCUGGAGGAGAAGGAGGCGCUGGUGUCCCAGCUGACCCGCGGCAAGGUGUCCUACACCCAGCAGCUGGAGGACCUGCGGAGGCAGCUGGAGGAGGAGAUGAAGGCCAAGAACGCGCUGGCGCACGCGCUGCAGUCGGCCCGGCACGACGGGGACCUGCUGCGGGAGCAGUACGAGGAGGAGACCGAGGCCAAGGCCGAGCUCCAGCGCUCGCUCUCCAAGGCCAACUCCGAGGUGGCCCAGUGGAGGACCAAGUAUGAGACAGACGCCAUCCAACGCACUGAGGAGCUGGAGGAGGCCAAGAAGAAGCUGGCGCAGCGGCUGCAGGAGGCCGAGGAGGCCGUGGAGGCCGUCAACGCCAAAUGCUCCUCACUGGAGAAGACCAAGCACCGGCUGCAGAACGAGAUCGAGGACCUGAUGGCUGACGUGGAGCGGUCGAACGCGGCUGCCGCUGCCUUGGACAAGAAGCAGAGGAACUUUGACAAGGUGUUGGCCGAGUGGAAGCAGAAGUUCGAGGAGUCGCAGACGGAGCUGGAGGCAUCCCAGAAGGAGGCCAGGGCCCUCAGCACCGACCUCUUCAAGCUGAGGAACAUCUACGAGGAGUCCCUGGAGCACCUGGAGACCUUCAAGAGGGAGAACAAGAAUCUCCAAGAGGAGAUCUCGGACCUCACGGAGCAGCUCGGCGCUGGCAACAAAUCCAUCCACGAGCUGGAGAAGGUCCGGAAACAGCUGGACGCCGAGAAGCUGGAGCUCCAAGCUGCUCUGGAAGAGGCUGAGGCCUCCCUGGAGCACGAGGAGGGGAAGAUCCUGAGGGCGCAGCUGGAGUUCAACCAGGUGAAGGCGGAGUACGAGCGGAAGCUGGGCGAGAAGGAGGAGGAGAUGGAGCAGGUGAAGCGCAACCACCUGCGCGUGGUGGAGUCGCUCCAGACCUCGCUGGACGCCGAGACCCGGAGCCGCAACGAGGCCCUGAGGCUGAAGAAGAAGAUGGAGGGCGACCUCAACGAGAUGGAGAUCCAGCUCAGCCACGCCAACCGUGGCGCCAAUGAGGCCCAGAAGCAGGUCAAGGCUCUGCAGGGCUACCUGAAGGACACACAGCUGCAGCUGGAUGACGCAGCAAGGGUCGGGGAGGACCUGAAGGAGAACGUGGCCAUGGUGGAGCGCAGGAACACCCUGCUGCAGUCCGAGCUGGAGGAGCUCCGGGGCCUGGUGGAACAGACCGAGAGGGCCCGGAAACUGGCCGAGCAGGAGCUCAUCGAGGCCAGCGAGAGGGUCCAGCUCCUCCACUCGCAGAACACCAGCCUCAUCAGCCAGAAGAAGAAGAUGGAGGGUGACAUCUCCCAGCUGCAGACAGAGGUGGAAGAGGCCGUCCAGGAGUGCCGGAACGCUGAGGAGAAGGCCAAGAAGGCCAUCACCGAUGCGGCCAUGAUGGCAGAGGAGCUGAAGAAGGAGCAGGACACGAGCGCGCACCUGGAGCGCAUGAAGAAGAACAUGGAGCAGACCAUCAAGGACCUGCAGCUGCGGCUGGACGAGGCCGAGCAGCUGGCCCUCAAGGGCGGCAAGAAGCAGCUGCAGAAGCUGGAGGGGCGCGUGAGGGAGCUGGAGAACGAGCUGGAGGCCGAACAGAAGCGCAACGCCGAGAGCGUCAAGGGGCUGCGCAAGUCCGAGCGGCGCGUCAAGGAGCUCAGCUACCAGACGGAGGAGGACAAGAAGAACCUGCUGCGGCUGCAGGACUUGGUGGACAAACUGCAGAUGAAAGUCAAGGCCUACAAGAGACAGGCGGAGGAGGCGGAGGAGCAGGCCAACACCAACCUGGCCAAGUUCCGGAAGGCGCAGCACGAGCUGGAUGAGGCUGAGGAACGUGCCGACAUCGCCGAGUCCCAGGUCAACAAACUGCGGGCCAAGAGCCGCGACAUCGGAGCCAAGAAGCUGCACGAUGAGGAGUGACCCAUCCCUAUGAGGGACCCACCAGUAAUGACCCACCACCAUGAGUGACACCACUGCCACUAUGAGGGACACACCAUGAUGAAGGUUCCACCAUGAUGAAGGUUCCAUCAUGAUGAAGGUCCCAUCAUGACAAUGACUGACCAACCACGAUGAUAAGGGUCCCACCAUCACCAUGAGGGGUCCAUCACCUCACAUUGAGGGACUGACCACCACAGGGGACUCCUCACUGUGAUAAGAAACCCAUGACCACCAUGACGAGUGACCUGCCCCUGUGAUGAGGGAUCCUCCACCACCACCGUGGGGGACCCACCAUGAUGGCACCAUGAAGGACCUCCCAUACCACAACAGGGGACCUGCCCACCAUGAUACAAGUUACUCACCACCACCAAGAUGGACCUGCAAUGAUGAUGAGAUGAACCCACCACCACCAAGAUGGACCCACAAUGACGAUGAGAUGAACCCACCACCACCAAGAUGGACCCACAAUGACGAUGAGAUGAACCCACCACCACCAUGAUGGACCCACGAUGAUGAGAUGAACCCACCACCACCAUGAUGGACCCAUGAUGAUGAUGAUGGACCCACCAUCAUGAGUGACUCCAAACCCCACAGUAGACCCUCUCCCCACCAGUGACACCCCCCACCCCCUGUCCAAGACGAGGGGACCCCG